GACGAACGCUGGCGGCGUGCUUAACACAUGCAAGUCGUACGGUAAGGCCCUUUCUGGGGUACACGAGUGGCGAACGGGGGAGUAACACGUGAGUAACCUGCCCACAACUUUGGGAUAACGCUAGUAAACUGGUGCUAAUACGGGAUAUGUGCUACUGCUGCAUGGUGGGGGUUGGAAAGCUCCGGCGGUUGUGGAUGGACUCGCGGCCUAUCAGCUUGUUGGUGGGGUAGUGGCCUACCAAGGCGGCGACGGGUAGCCGGCCUGAGAGGGUGACCGGCCACAUUGGGACUGAGAUACGGCCCAGACUCCUACGGGAGGCAGCAGUGGGGAAUAUUGCACAAUGGGCGCAAGCCUGAUGCAGCACCGCCGCGUGCGGGAUGACGGCCUUCGGGUUGUAAACCGCUUUCAGCAGGGACGAAGCUUUUUGUGACGGUACCUGCAGAAGAAGCACCGGCUAACUACGUG
rnacentral:rRNA from 1 species